ensembl:lncRNA
AUCUGAAUCUUCCCUGGUGGCUCAGAGGCCUUGUGUAAUCCCACUCUCCUUGGUGUGGGCUCUACCUAGUGACUUGCUUCUAGUGAACAGAACACAGUGAAGUUCCAUGUUGUGAGAUGCUCUACGGAGAGGCUCACAUGGCAAAGGAUCAAAAGAAGCCUAUGGCCAACAGCUCAUGAAGAAGUGAAGUCUCAGUUCAACAAUUUGCAAGAAACUGACUCCUGCCAACAGUGGCACGACUGAACGUGGAAGUGGAUCCUUCCCAGCUGAGUCUUCUGAUGCCAGAUGACUGCAGCCCAGGGCCACACUUUCAUGCCAGCCUUGUGACAGAGUCAGAGUCAGAGAACCCAGCUAAACCAUGCCAGACUUCUGAAUCAUGGAAAUUGAGACAAUAAGGGAUUUCCAGUAGAGUGACACUCCUGGCUUCUUGUCCCACCUGAUUGGUGCAUCUGGAAGAAGGAACUGAACAUGCUCAGCAGGUCUCUCUUAGGGGAGCUGCUUGCCUGCAGAGAAAGUGCAUUCUGGGCUUAAGCAGAGCAGGCUCUGCCCAUCAGUUUUGCCUGAUGUUGGGGGUGGGGGUAAGUUCAACUUAGAAGAGUAUUAGCAAGCUGUGUCCUCCAAAAGAGCUUCUUAUCGGUAAUAAAGCUGACACUUUGAUCUCCA